rnacentral:rRNA from 1 species
CAGUCGCCGCGGUAAUACGUAGGGUGCAAGCGUUAAUCGGAAUUACUGGGCGUAAAGCGUGCGCAGGCGGUGUUGUAAGACUGAUGUGAAAUCCCCGGGCUCAACCUGGGAACUGCAUUGGUGACUGCAACGCUGGAGUGCGGCAGAGGGGGAUGGAAUUCCGCGUGUAGCAGUGAAAUGCGUAGAUAUGCGGAGGAACACCGAUGGCGAAGGCAGCCCCCUGGGCCAAUACUGACGCUCAUGCACGAAAGCGUGGGGAGCAAAUAGGAUUAGAUACCCCGGUAGUCCCUGUCUCUUAUAC